rnacentral:rRNA from 1 species
AUGAACGCUGGCGGCGUGCCUUAAGCAUGCAAGUCGAACGGAGAUUUAGUCGAAAGACCAAAGAUCAGUGGCGGACGGGUGAGUAUAAGCAAGGAGCGUACCCCUUAUUGUGACAUAGCUCGUCGAAAGACGGGGUAAUAUCGCAUGACCCUUUACGGGGAAAGCGCUUAACCGCGCGAUAAGGGAGCGGCCUUGUCACUAUCAGCUAGUUGGUGGGGUAAUGGCCUACCAAGGCGAUGACGGUUAGGGGGCGUGAGAGCGCGACCCCCCACAAUGGCACUGAGACACGGGCCAUACAUCUACGGAUGGCAGCAACUGGGAAUCGUUGGCAAUGGACGAAAGUCUGACCACGCGACGCCGCGUGAGGGAUGAAGGCUCUCGGGUCGUAAACCUCUUUUGCCCCGCCAUGAAGGUGGGGAGAAUAAGCACCUACAAACUACGU